rnacentral:rRNA from 1 species
UGGGGAAUUUUGGACAAUGGGCGCAAGCCUGAUCCAGCAAUGCCGCGUGAGUGAAGAAGGCCUUCGGGUUGUAAAGCUCUUUUGUCAGGGAAGAAACGGCUCCGGCUAAUAUCUGGGGCUAAUGACGGUACCUGAAGAAUAAGCACCGGCUAACUACGUGCCAGCAGCCGCGGUAAUACGUAGGGUGCAAGCGUUAAUCGGAAUUACUGGGCGUAAAGCGUGCGCAGGCGGUUUUGUAAGUCUGUCGUGAAAGCCCCGGGCUUAACCUGGGAAUUGCGAUGGAGACUGCAAGGCUUGAAUCUGGCAGAGGGGGGUAGAAUUCCACGUGUAGCAGUGAAAUGCGUAGAGAUGUGGAGGAACACCGAUGGCGAAGGCAGCCCCCUGGGUCAAGAUUGACGCUCAUGCACGAAAGCGUGGGGAGCAAACA